GGUUGCGAUCAUACCAGCACUAAUGCACCGGAUCAUAUCAGAACUCCGCAGUUAAGCGUGCUUGGGCGAGAGAAGUACUAGGAUGGGUGACCCCCUGGGAAGUCCUCGUGUUGCAACCC
rnacentral:rRNA from 1 species